AGUGAGACCUGCCAGCAGGUGGGGGACUCAGUGCCCCCUACUAGGCCCCUAUGCUCUGGGGUUGUAGAGUUGACCUGGCUUGGAGUCUGAGUCCUGGCUGUCUGCCUCUGGCCCUGCCCAAAAUUUCCCUUUGUGUGUGUGUGCACACGCGUGCACAUGCUCGUGUGUGUGUGUUUAUAGGAUGUGCCCUACAGGAUAAGCCUGAGCCUUCUCGUGCCCAUGAUGGGCUUAGAUACCCCCAAGAGGUCUGAGUGUAGCAAUAGGAAUUCCCAGUGUGCUUUCAAAUCACUAUGGAAUUCAUUCAUUCAUUCAUUCAUUCAUCCACCUGAAAACACGUAUUGAAAACAUACUAUGUGCCAGCUUUAGUUUUCAGCGCCGGGAAGCCUCGUUGUGAUUUCCUCCGAUUGUAGAAUGUGACGAGGUGUUCUCAACUCAAGGCCCACGGGAGAAGAGAAACCUCAUUCUUGGAGUGAGAGAGAAAGAAAGUGGUGAACAUUGAACGCCCUCCCUCUCCAUCUUGGCCAGAGCGUAGGAAGGUGUAGAGUAGAGGCUCACGGCUCCUGAGACCCACCUCUGCUCUGUGCUGCUGCGUAGAGCUCUCUCCUUGGGGCCUCCAGGGCACAAGCUUGAGGGACAGGGCCCAUCUUUGGUCAGGGUAUUCGGUCAUCCGACAAUGCCUUGCAGGUAGAUCUCUGCUGUGGGAAAGGAAUGGGGUGAGGAAGGCCGGAAGGACAGGGGGCAGGGAGGUGGGCUCAUCACUCUGAGCCUGCAGGAGAGAGGAAAGAAUGUGAGAUUGGAUUGUGUGUGUCUGAGGAAUGGCCCCAUUCUGGUCCCUAUUUGUGGUUAUUGGUCAUGAAGUCACCAGGAUGACUCUAUCUUUCUAGUUGCCCACCACCUGUGGCUUUGCCUCCGUCCCCAUAUUUCCCUACCCUUAUACCUCCUAUCCCGCCAUCUCUACCCCCCUGGGCAUUUUCUGGCUUGCCUGGAUAGAUUUAGAGACCUGCUUGUUGGCUAUAAUGUCUUUUCAUUCUUUCUUCUUCCUUUUUUAAAAAAAUCAGAACAAAACC
rnacentral:lncRNA from 1 species